GCUCAGUCGCCCAUCCACUCUUCCUAAAGUCAGCCGGUCAGUGCUCUACACAGUUGGUCCUAAGAAAGAAAAAGUAUUCAAAGCUGGCUGUUCAAAGCACAUUGCCGACAGUCCUCCACUUAACAAAAGAAUUAAUUAUGGAACUUUUUGAAGAGACAACUUUCCUAGGGCGUAUAAGGUACAAUUUUUACUUAGCAUCAAUGUAUUCACAAUUUUGGGGGGUAUAAACCUAAAAAGGCACGUAUGUUUGGCUAUAAAUGUAUUUGCGUUAUUUUUCAAUUCUCAGUAUAAAAACUUGAUUUAGGCAGGGCUGGUAUCAUUAUUUCUACCUUUCAGGUGAGGAAAGGGAGACUCAGAGAGAUUCUAAGCAAAAAUGGGCGUUCCCACUGCUGCACAAUGACCCGCUGAGGGUCGCAUUUCUCAGCCUGCCCAAAUCCCACUGUUACACCUGCGCUGUUUACAGAAAGUGGAGUAGAGGGUACCAGGGACUGGGGAGAGGGUGGGGAAGGUAUUAUUUAAUUGGUGCAGAGUCUCUAUUCUGGAUGAUGAGAAUGUUCUGGAAAUGGAAAGUGGUGAUGGUUGCAUGACAUUAUGAAUGUCCUUAGUAUAUGCUGAAUGUACACUUAAAAUGGUUAAAAGGGUACAUUGUGUAUUAAUUUUUUAACAUAGAAAAAGAAUUACCUAGCUGAAAUUCUGCAUCGCAGCAGGAUUACGUUAGCUCACUUCCCCUCUGCCCUUUCCUUCCACCUCCCACUUCCCCCAUAUAAUAAAGAGAACUAAUCAAGAGAAAAUAAUUAAAAUUGAAGUAACACCGAGAAAUCACUUCUACCCCAGGAGAUUGGCAAAAAAUAAAGUAUGAUAAUACUCUUUGCUAGUAAAGACGCAGAAGAAGGACACUCUCGCACACUGUUGUUGAAAAAAUAAACUGGGCAGACUGGAAAACAAUCUAGCAAUAUACUAUAAACAUGUUUAUUAAAAUUAAAAAUACACAUACGUGGUAUUGGAGACAGGGAAAAUACACAGAUCAAUUAAAGAGAAUAGAGUUUGAGGAGAGGGAUAUUUCCUAGACUAAAACCAGGGGUGGGGUGUGGUCUAUGGGUCACAAGAUCAAUGGGAACUUGCAACUUGCUCACUAAUGGCACCCCAUAAUGAGAGACCCUCAGAAGGAAUAGUGGUUUGGGGUAUCCUGGGCUCUGGGAUCACCAUAGAAGCCCAUGACCCAAAGGUGAUUAGCAAGAUGAAAAACCUGCAGAGACCACACCUGGGGUAGGGGCUUCUCCCCUGUGAUCAAUAUGGACCCAUGGCAAGGAGGCCUAGACACUUUACCCAAUCCAGUGGCGGAUCAGGUAGUGACCAGAGAAAGAUUUCGGUUGAAUUUCCUGACAUCCCAGUAGGACGGGGAUGUGAAGUCAACAUUAAGUUGUGUUUGGUCAGGGUUCCCCAGAAAAACAUAACCAGUAGGAGACAGAUAGAUAGACAGAUAGAUAAGUAGAUAAAGAUUUAUUAUAGGAAUUGGCUCAUACAAUUGUGGAGGCCAAGAAGUCCCGGGAUUUGCCGUCUGUAAGCUGGAGAAAUAAGAAAGCUGGUUGUGCAAUUCAGUUCAGAUAUGAAGCCCAGAGAACCAGGAGUGUCUAUUCAAGCAGAGAGAGUGAACUCAUGUUUCCUCCACCUUUCCGUUCUAUUCAAGCCCUCAGUGGAUUGGAUGGUGCCCCGCAAAUUGGCGAGGGGCAUCAUCUUUACUUGACCUAUUGAUUCAAAUGCUAAUCUCUUCCAGCACCACCUCAGACACACCCAGAAAUAAUAUUUUACCAGCUUUCUGAGCGUCCCUUAGCCCAGUCAAGUUGACAUAUAUAAUUCACCGUCACAAACAGUUUUGCAGAAAGUAAAGAACUAUGCUAUUACCUGCAUACGUGAGUUGGCGAACUGAGAGUCUUCCCACUUAUAUGAGAUUUAGAGGUAGGUAUUAUGGAUGAGGUGGGGUUCAAUCUCACCUUGAGAACAACAGGUAGGGGUUGGGGUGAGCACAGGUGUGACAGCCCAGGUGAGCAGGGAGUGGGCGGCAGACAGUGAAGAAACGGGCUUGGCUGGAGUAUAUGGUCCCAAUUAGAGAGUGGAAAGAACCCACUUUUAGUGUCUGUCCUCCUCAUUAUCAAAACACAUCUGUCACUGAACACCUCCAUGUACAAGGUUCCGGGCUGUAUGCUGUGAGGUAUGGAAAGGUGAGAAAUGCAGGGUCAGCGCUUUCUGUGAGCUCAUAAAUUAGCUUGAUAAUGUGCGUCCACGAAGAAAAACACUCAGAAGGUGGAGUGCCCGAUUCCUGACAUACAUCAUCCGUGCACUUGUUUCCUCAGCUAAAUCUUACUGUGUUUAAUCCUCACACCGGGCUAAGUAUUAGGGAUGCAGAGAUGAACGAUACAGUGCACCAUUCCUAGGAAAUACAUAGAAAUCACCUCCGGCUGAGGAAGGUCUCCCAGAGCUGGACCUGGGUGGGCUGGUAGGAUGUGAUAGGUGUCUGAGGAGGAAGCGGGUACACCUGUGGCAAGAUCGGCACCUGGGACUGAUGGCCUGUGGAACACCCAGCCCAACACGCAGCCAAAGGAUUGGGACAGGCUUUGCCUUUGAGGAUGCCGACAAGCAAAUCUCCUUGUGAGAAGAUCAUUGUCUCCACGAACCCUGACGUCACAAACCCAUUGCAGCCUGUCCUCCCUCUUCUCACGGACAGUUGUGUCCAGCUGAAAGCAAGCACCAACCCUCAACUUGAAGCUGUGUGCCUAAGUUUUCACCAACACCAAGGGAUGCAAUAAGUGUGUGCUGAUUUGAUGCUCCCCAGAUGAAGAAAAAGAUUGAGAACCAGCUGCCCCAAGGAGAGAGGUAUGAAGAGGAGUCUUCUUUCAGAUUGAAUCGGGUGGCCAGAAUAAAUCAGUCCACCACUGCUGUAGAAUCCACCUGCUGACGCUCACUGUGACCCAGAUUCUUGUCUCAUUCCAUCAGCCCCGUUCCACGUCUCCCCCGCCCCCGCCCCCGCCCCCAGCCUUAUUCCAGUUCAGCCCCUUUAAUAUCCCUGCUACCCAUUGACUGCCAUUCCCUUAGGACUUCCUUCCAGCCCCAGUUAAGAAAAACAUAUGAUCACCGGCUUCCAGACCCCACCGCUUCCAUUCUGCACACUCCAGGACCCUCUCCCAGACUGGAAGGAGUGAGAAGAGUUUGGGGUCUUUCUUCCCCCCCCCCCAAGCGAGUGGGCAUCCAGAUAUGGGCAAAAUCAGAGCGUGCUCAGCAUGUGACCUCCGGGUGUUGGGAUGAACGUGCAGGCCAGGCUGCAGCCCUGCCAGGGUGUCCGGCGCUUGGAAUCUUUCCAUGCAAAUUUCCCUUGUGGCAGCCCUGGCCUCUUCUGCAGGGGUGGCAGCCGCCCUGGGAGGAAAGAUGAGAUUUAAAUUGGUAAUCAAGCACUGUACCAAACUGGACUUUGACCUUGUUCAGAAUUCCACUGGCCCGUGUUCCCUGACCCACCACCGCCCUUUCUGCCCAAUUGUUCCCUUGAGUAGCUGCCUGCUAUCUAUGGCAAUAAGGCAGGCUGCCACCAGCUGCUGCUUCCCUGGCUGCCCUCCACCUGGCUGGAUCGGAAGGCCUUGGAAAUCAGAGAGCUUUGCCUUUCCAGCCACUUUGCUACCUCUGCUCCUGGAGCGAGACAAGAAUAGUCUGGAUGAGGUCUCUGGUCCUGGCUGUGCCUGCUGGUAGGGCCUGGGAGAGGUGAAGGCAGCCCCGGCAAACUCCUUUUAUGCACUCUUCGUUACCAAAGCGAUUCCCAGACGAGGCCUGGAAUGGCCAGUGUGGGCCCACACGCCUGCUAUGUCCACGGAAGCAGCAUGGAUCCAGCAUCCGUUCUCUCCAGCUCCUUCCACUGCCCCAGAACACCCCCGCUUGCUGCAAAACACCACGUUUUUGCUCAUUUCUUCUGCCGAGAAGGUCUUCCACAUUCUCUUCUACAUGUCUAAACUCUGCCCUUCCUUCCAUGGCCUGGGGGACCACUCUCCCCGGUAGGGUGCCUACUCACUCCCCUGCAACCCUACCAUGCUUUUUCUCUGACCUCCUCAAUUCAUGACUCAAACCAAAUAUCUGGGGCAUUUAGUCACAUGCUGAUUUGCCAUGUUGUCUCAUUGUUUCAACUGUUAUCUCCCCAACAAGAUGGUAGGCUCCCAGGGACUAUGCAUUACCUAGAAUUGGCACUUAGUAGGUCUACUGGGAAUCAGUGAAUGUGAAAGGACAAAUGAAUGAAUAUAGACGUUGCUUUAUUCAGAGCUCUGUUUUCUUUACACGCCUAGAAUUCUUCCCAACAAGAGAGCCCUUCUUUCCAUUGGCUGUCGUCACAACGAAGCUGCUGGUGGAAACUUUGCUUCCCAUGCCUCCCAGAGCACAGGAGAACCAAGAAUGUUUCACCAGGAGGAGUCAGUUGCCAGAACAGUUGGAUUUCCACCAGCGUGCAGGGCACUAGUGGCUGCUGGGAGCAGAUGUCUGCCCUCUUUGAUCUAACUGGGAUGCUAGAAUGUGCCCACACGAAGCUUUGUUUCCGUUAAUGCACACAGUAUGUGAGAGCUAAGAAUGGCUGGGUGCAGAAAGCACCCAGUCUAGGCUGUCCUAAUCAGAGAGCAUGUGAAGGAUACAGAAAAUAGGGCUGUUGAAUGGAGGUAGCGGGGAGACUGGGUGUCCAAGGAAGGCAUGAAAGAGUGCCCCUACUCUCUCUUCCCCAGCCAGACUCCACCUGUCCAUGUCUGCUCCCCCACCCAGGUAAGAAAGAGCCAAAGAUGGGGCGAGGACAAGGGACAAGAUUGGGGGUGGGGUGGUGGAUGGAUAGUUAACUCAGGGGUUUCAUCUGAGAGGAAACACCUUGGGAAUGCAAGGCAGCUCUCACACAUGCACUAUCCAUCCGAUGGGGAGGCAUAGAGGAGGCUCAAAAAGCCAGGAGGGGCUUCCCUGGUGGCGCAGUGGUUGAGAGUCCGCCUGC